rnacentral:rRNA from 1 species
CUACGGGAGGCAGCAGUUUGGAAUAUUGCCCAAUGGGGGAAACCCUGAGGCAGCGACGCCGCGUGGAGGAUGAAGGAUUUAGGUCUGUAAACUCCUUUUAUCAGGAAAGACUUAGGACGGUACCUGAUGAAUAAGCUCCGGCUAACUACGUGCCAGCAGCCGCGGUAAUACGUAGGGAGCAAGCGUUGUCCGGAUUUACUGGGCGUAAAGGGCGCGUAGGCGGUUUGUUAAGUGUGAAGUGAAAUCUCCAGGGCUCAACCCGGAAACUGCUUCGCAUACUGGCAGACUAGAGGAAUGCAGAGGUGAUUGGAAUUCCCGGUGUAACGGUGACAUGCAUUGAUAUCGGGAGGAACACCCGCGGCGAAGGCGGAUCACUGGGCAUUAUCUGACGCUGAGGCGCGAAAGCGUGGGUAGCAAACAGGAUUAGAUACCCCAGUAGUCC